rnacentral:rRNA from 1 species
UACGUAGGGUGCAAGCGUUAAUCGGAAUUACUGGGCGUAAAGCGUGCGCAGGCGGUUAUGUAAGACAGUUGUGAAAUCCCCGGGCUCAACCUGGGAACUGCAUCUGUGACUGCAUAGCUAGAGUACGGUAGAGGGGGAUGGAAUUCCGCGUGUAGCAGUGAAAUGCGUAGAUAUGCGGAGGAACACCGAUGGCGAAGGCAGCUUCUUGGUCCAUAUCUGACGUUGAGACACGAAAGCGUGGGGAGCAAACAGG